rnacentral:lncRNA from 1 species
GGUAAGUUUCUUUCUUGAUUUUUGUGUAAAUAUUCGUUGUAUAUUACAUUACAUUCGAAUUCUUUCUUUUCUUUACUUUUGUUUUUACGUGUGUUUUAUCAACUUAUGCAUUUUCUAGAUAUGAUUGUUCCUGUAUGGGAUGUCACUAUUUUAUGAGACGUCAACGGGAACUGCAGAAGGAGGUUCAUGACCUGCAUUGGGAGUUGGCCGCCGUC